rnacentral:rRNA from 1 species
AUAGCAUAUUCAUAGCGGAGGAAAAGAAACUAACAAGGAUUCCCUAGUAACUGCGAGUGAAGAGGGAAGAGCUCAAAUUUAAAAUCUGACAGUGUUUUGCUGUCCGAGUUGUAAUCUAGAGAAGUGCUGCCCGUGCUGGACCAUGUAUAAGUCUCCUGGAAUGGAGCGUCAUAGAGGGUGAGAAUCCCGUCUUUGACAUGGACUGCCAGUGCAUUUGUGGUGUGCUCUCAAAGAGUCGAGUUGUUUGGGAAUGCAGCUCUAAAUGGGUGGUAAACUCCAUCUAAAGCUAAAUAUUGGCGAGAGACCGAUAGUGAACAAGUACCGUGAGGGAAAGAUGAAAAGAACUUUGGAAAGAGAGUUAAACAGUAUGUGAAAUUGUUGAAAGGGAAACGCUUAAAGUCAGUCGUGUCGGCCAGGGAUCAACUUAGUUUUAUUAGCUGGGUGUACUUCCUGAUCUGAUGGGCCAACAUCAGUUUUGACUGCUGGAAAAGGAUAGAGAGAAUGUGGCACCUUUGGGUGUGUUAUAGCUCUCUGUCGGAUGCAGUGGUUGGGACUGAGGAAAGCAGCAUGCCGCAAGGCCGGGUUUCGACCACGUUCAUGCUGAGGAUGUUGGCAUAAUGGCUUUAAUCGACCCGUCUUGAAACACGGACCAAGGAGUCUAACAUGCCUGCAAGUGUUUGGGUGGCAAACCCGAGUGCGGAAUGAAAGUGAAAAGUUGAGAUCCCUGUCAUGGGGAGCAUCGACGCCCGGACCUGAGCUCUUGCAAAGGAUCUGCGGUAGAGCAUGUAUGUUAGGACCCGAAAGAUGGUGAACUAUGCCUGAAUAGGGUGAAGCCAGAGGAAACUCUGGUGGAGGCUCGUAGCGAUUCUGACGUGCAAUCGAUCGUCGAAUUUGGUAUAGGGGCGAAAGACUAAUCGAAUCAUCUAGUAGCUGUUCCUGCCGAGUCUCCCUCCAGAGAUAAA